UCCCAGCCGGCGGGCGAAGGCGGCCCCUCUCCGGACGCCCCGCCUCCGACUCCCGUUACACCCGGGGGAAGGUGUUCCAGAGGCCGCUCCCAUCCUCACCCCGCCUCCCGCUCUCCCGGCGCUAGCCUCUGCCGCCGGAGCCCACUAUGCCAGAUACUUUCGACACUUUGCAAAGACAAAGAGCCCUAGACCGGAGGGAGGCGAGAGGAGGAGGCAGAAGAGGAGGUAGAGGAGGACCCGGAGGUGUGAGCUGGUCGGGACUUGACUUUGAUGAACUGAAAAUGCCAUCAAGAAGUGGCUGUCAUCUCCCCGGGCUGUGCUAAGUGAGCUAGGUUCAGAGCUGUGGAACCGGAAAGUUGUGUCUGUGUCUCAGCCUCCUGAGGCACUCAUGGGCGCCUCUAGCCCCGGGCACUGGGGGUUAAAGGAAUCGGCAGGUGCCUUACCUCUGGGAUGCUGAUAGCCAAGGCAAGGAGAAACAGACAGAUCCAUCGGUUAUUGGCAGGCACGGAGCAUUGUUCUGGCUUUGUGGAGCUUGAGACAUUUGCAGUUUGGAGCUGGCUAUAAAGAAGUAAUAUACUAAUUCAUAGAUUUAAAAUAAAAUAUAAGCCUUGGUAAGUGGGGUGCUCUGGGGAUGGGGUACCACUGUCCUGGCAUGGGCCAGUCUCAGUCUCCAGUGGAUUUGCAGCUGAGGGACUAUUAUCAGGUCUUCUCUCCUGGGUCUCUGGAGAUUGUCAGUGGGGAGCAGGUCAUUUUCCGAUGCCUGGACAUAUACUCAGAAGGACGGCCACUGGCUGGACAGCAACGUCCACACUAGUACUUGGUAGCAUGGGUGUUCCUGUCCUCAUUUUCUGUCUGAUGAGAUGGGAUAAAGUCUUUUGUUCCAUUUGUGCUGAUGGGGUGUUCAACGACACAUUCUGUACAGUCUUCAGGCCAACUGUGGUGCUUUGAGAAUGGCCUGGCCCCCUGAGGCUUAUGUAUUUAAAUACUUAGUCACCAGGGAGUGGAACUGUUUAAGAAGGAUUAGGAGGAUUAGAAGGCGUGGCCUUGCUGGAGGAAUUAUGUUCCUGGGGUGGGCUUUGAGGUUUGAAAAACCCACACCAGGCCCAGUCUCAGUCUCAGUCUCAGUCUCUCUCUCUCUCUCUCUCUCUCUGCCUGUUGCCGUCAGAUCAGGAUGUAAAGGUCGAAUCUACUGCUCAAAUCACAGUGCCUGUCUGCCUGUUGCCAUGACGAUCAUGAACUAGCCCUUAAAGACUCUAACUCUAAUUAGAUGUGUUCCUUCAUAGGACUUGCCUUGAUUGUGGUGUUUGUUCAUGGCAACAGAAAGGUAACAAAGACCUAGUGAUCCCACUUCUGGGCUGCGCCCUAAGGACCAGCUGAGCUGCUGGAGCACUGAGCUAAGUGUGCCUGGAGCAUGUGGGAGUGCCUCCCAAGGCUUGGCUGGAGGUAAUUUCUAAGAGUACAUGGUCAGUCACUUUGGGAACUAGCUAGUGCACCCCAGGUGCACCCCACUUACCAAGAGCUUGUAUUUUGCUUUAAAUAUGCGACUUUGAAGGGACCAGCUCCCCUUUCGGCAGUCAUAGCGGCCGAACACGUGCUUGUAUGACCUUGUCCUGGACACUAGAAAGUCAGAUGCCUGCCUCGUGACAAGGAACCAAUCAGAAGUUAGCUGGUGGCGCUAUGCUUUACAACCCUGGCUGUACUUUACAGACAAACACACAGCAAUGACGCAAAGCAUAGCAACCACCCUGGGAGGGCCUAUGGGCCAUAACAACCAGUUGGCCAAUCAACACAGGGCAAUCCCUCCAAGGCUGGAGGCACACCAAUAGUGAGCCUGUGUGUACCCCUAGACACUCCCCUUAAGCUGCCCUAUAAGAUCUCCGUCCUGUGGCUUCUCAGAGUCUUUUGCGAGCCAUCCACCAUGGCUGAAAGACCAUGAGUGAAAGACCCGAGCUAACAUGGGGUUAGCUCGUUAAAUUACAAUAAAGCCUCAUGCAAUUUGCAGCAAGCUCUCGAAUCUGCCUGGUGAUUGGGGUGACCAUGGUCGUGGCCUGGGACCCCAGAUACCUGAGUUUUCCAGGGGUCUACAACUUUAUAUAGUGUUUUCUUGGAGAUAACUCCAAACUGUGCAAGAUUUUUAUGGAACACAGGCACAGGGUUGUUUAGUAAGGAACCCCCAGGCCCAUGGCUUUGAGCUGGGCUUUGAAGUUGCAGUGUGUUUCCAGAGCCUUGCCCGUAAGCUCUGUUGCCUCUAGGAUUCUUGUUUCUAAGUCUUUGACAGCUUCUAGUACUCAGGGAAAUAGCAUGAGUGGCCAAGUCCAGGAACAGAAUUAAAUAAAAUAUAACUUAGAAUGGAGUCAUUCAUAGUGAGUCCGUGUAUGAUUUCCUAGAACGAUGGGGUGUUCCGGAUACUAGAUGCUAAGGGGAAAGUCCUGUGUAUGUCCAGAAAAAAAAUGGAGAGAGAGGGCAGGGCAUGUUAGUUCUCUAUCCAGCUUACAUACCCUCAGUUGGGCUUGUUACAGCAACUCAUUUGCCUACACAUCCCAGUGCCUGUUCCAUUGUCCUGACCCUGGAGACACAGCAGCUUUUAAAGGUUGGGACCAGGAGUGUUCCUGCACUUGUGUGGCCUCUCUGCUCCUUCUCUCCUGUAGCAGAUGUAACUCACACCAGCCUCCCUUAGAUCUGCCACUCCCCUCCUGGGGAACGUAUAUUUCCAGUCAACCACUGUGGCCAGGCCCAGUGUCGCAGGAAGAGAGGGCCACCAGGGGCAUGAAAUUUUCACAGGUGCUUUUAGAAGGUAGCCCCAUACAUUUGAGUCUUUCACUCUUCACCAAUGACCAGUUCUGGGUCUGCUCAUGCCCAGAUGGCCGGUAUUCAGGCAUUUACAGGUUCUGCAGAUGAUCUGAGUUCCAGACACACUUCCCUCUGCAUCCUUCUUCCUUCUUGUAACCUCCAUGUUCAUAAUAUCCCUGGGAUAGAGUCCGAGUUCUGUGGGAGGAAGAACAAGACUCCCAAAGUCCCUAGCCUCAUCCUAGCUCUCCCAACCCCCUGCUAGGCACAGAGCAACCUUCAGAGCAGCGAUUAGUGUGGUCUGGGUGCAAAUCACAUGUCUGCUACUCACCGAGUCAUCCUGGCCUCACUUUCCUUACCUGUGAAAUGGACAGAGUCGCUAGUGAUAGCCUGGAUUGAUUACUUUACAAAAAAGGGCUGAGUCCUUCUAGAUACAGCCCACGCCGUUGGGCAGCAUGAGACAGAGGAGUUGUUGGUAGGUGUCGAUGGUGUACAACAGUUUAUUCUGAGCCAAAUAUAAGUGCCCGUGGGUCCGUCGGGAACACAGAUUCAAGUUGCCCCCCAAAAUGUAGUUCCCCAUGAAGUGGUAACAUGGACUCAAUGUUACAGAACAAAAGAAACUCCUAAAGCAACACUUUUGCCUAAGACUUUAGUGGGAACAUCAGGCAGGCGGGCAGGCUACAUCAAAGGGGGUGGAAUAUCUCUGCUACAGAUCUCAGCAGCUGUGUGAUGACAUGCUUAGCUUUUGAUUCACGGGUGGGAGCUGGUGGAGUGCUAACACACACUGAAGGUUUCACUUGAAGUUAAAAGGACAUGCGGCCAGAUAUCAAGGUAGUUGACAAAUGGAUAUUAAGAAGACUUAAAUGUCGCCCAUAAUAUUGGCUUAGGAGAUGUCUUGUGUAGCCAGGCUGGCUUUGAACUUGCUUUGUAGCUGAGGUUGACCUUGAACUUCUGCUCCUCCUACCUCUGCUUCCCCUGUGUUGAGAUUACAAGCAUGCCACACUAUGCCCUGGACGUGGUAAUUAAGCACUCUGCGAACUGAGUUGCACCUCCAGUGCAGGCCAGGAUACUUUUCUCUCUGACUACAACAGUUUAG
rnacentral:lncRNA from 1 species